rnacentral:rRNA from 1 species
GGGUACAUGGCCCGUACCCUAAACCGACACAGGUGGUCAGGUAGAGAAUACUAAGGCGAUCGAGAGAACUGUGGUUAAGGAACUCGGCAAAAUGCCCCCGUAACUUCGGGAGAAGGGGGACCAGUCCUGGUGACGACAUUUACUGUCUGAGCUGGGGUUGGUCGCAGAGACCAGAGAGAAGCGACUGUUUACUAAAAACACAGGUCCGUGCGAAGUCGUAAGACGAUGUAUACGGACUGACGCCUGCCCGGUGCUGGAAGGUUAAGAGGACCGGUCAGCCACUUCGGUGGCGAAGCUGAGAAUUUAAGCCCCAGUAAACGGUGGUAACUAUAACCAUCCUAAGGUAGCGAAAUUCCUUGUCGGGUAAGUUCCGACCUGCACGAAUGGCGUAACGACUUCUCUGCUGUCUCAACCACAGACUCGGCGAAAUUGCAGUACGAGUAAAGAUGCUCGUUACGCGCGGCAGGACGAAAAGACCCCGGGACCUUCACUAUAGCUUGGUAUUGGUGUUCGGUUCGGUUUGUGUAGGAUAGGUGGGAGACUGUGAAACUCGCACGCCAGUGUGGGUGGAGUCAUUGUUGAAAUACCACUCUGACCGUAUUGGACAUCUAACCUCGGACCAUGAUCUGGUUCAGGGACAGUGCCUGGUGUGUAGUUUAACUGGGGCGGUUGCCUCCUAAAAAGUAACGGAGGCGCCCAAAGGUUCCCUCAGCCUGGUUGGCAAUCAGGUGUUGAGUGUAAGUGCACAAGGGAGCUUGACUGUGAGACGUACAUGUCGAGCAGGGACGAAAGUCGGGACUAGUGAUCCGGCACCGGCAAGUGGAAGCGGUGUCGCUCAACGGAUAAAAGGUACCCCGGGGAUAACAGGCUGAUCUUCCCCAAGAGUCCAUAUCGACGGGAUGGUUUGGCACCUCGAUGUCGGCUCGUCGCAUCCUGGGGCUGGAGUAGGUCCCAAGGGUUGGGCUGUUCGCCCAUUAAAGCGGCACGCGAGCUGGGUUUAGAACGUCGUGAGACAGUUCGGUCUCUAUCCGCCGCGCGCGUAAGAAACUUGAGGAAACCUGUCCCUAGUACGAGAGGACCGGGACGGACGAACCUCUGGUGUGCCAGUUGUUCCACCAGGAGCACCGCUGGUUAGCUACGUUCGGAAGGGAUAACCGCUGAAAGCAUCUAAGCGGGAAGCCUGUUCCAAGAUGAGGUUUCUCACCACCUAGCGUGGUUAAGGCCCCCCACAGACCAUGGGGUUGAUAGGCCAGAACUGUAAGCACAGCAAUGUGUUCAGGUGACUGGUACUAAUCGGCC